UUUAUUCCUUCACAAAACAUGUCAAUUAAGCCCAAUCGCUGAUGUGGCGCUGACAUGGUGUGGCAGGUGUAAUACACUCUCCUAAAGGAGAGUAAGAAACCAUAAUUAAUGAAAAAAAAAUUAAACAUAAAAAAAACAACCAAUGCAAUAAAAAAAAUACAUUAAAGAAAUUAUAAAAAAAAAAAGAAAAGAGAAUAGCAUUCAUCUUCUUCUCCAUUCAAAAAACACACAGUAAUGGAGAAUUCCAUUCAUACACACAUAAUAAAGAGAAGCAAAAGGAAGACUCCAUUUUUCUUCUUCCAGAAUAUAUACACACAAUUACAAUAAACACACGGACUCACAAAAUUCUACACACACCAAUUCUCCAACCAAUUAAAAAAAUACAUUAAAGAAAUUAAAAAAAAAAUACCCAUCAUCUUCUUCUCCAUUAAUGAUUCUUUAAAAAUCAUUCAUAUAUAAAAAACCUCAACCAAUAAAAAAAAGUACAUUAAAGAAAUUAAAAGAAAUAAGAAAUAGCCAUCAUCUUCUCCAUAUCUUCUUCUCCAUUAAUGAUUUCUCCACGGGGAGGGGGAGUUUCCUUCUAGCGGUAGUAGUAUAUGUAAUGAAGAAGAAGAAUAAGAUACAAUUUUUUUUCUUUCUUUUUGCGCCGAAUCAACGAGGAAGAGGGGGAGGGGGGGAAGAGAAGG
rnacentral:lncRNA from 1 species